CGAGGAGGAUGUAAGCGGCGUGGUGGUGGGGUGCUUGGUGGCAAUGAUGCAUGUGGCUAUUUCUUUGAUGUGGAGCGGCAUCCCGACGGUGGCUUCGUACCUGACUCCGAGGAAGAGGCAAGUGGCAGCGUCCCCGACUCCGAGCUGCCCAUAGAUGACAGCUUUGCAAGUGGUGGUGUCCCUAACUCCAAGCUGCCCUCUUAUGGCGACUACGUCCCUGACUCCAAGGACGAGGCAAGCGGUGGCAUCCCCAACUCCAAGCUACCCCCCAGCGGCGGCUUUGUCCCUGACUUCAAGGAUGAGGCAAGUGGUGGCGUCCCCGACCCAAGGUCCCUCCUCCCCCAUCCCCCCCUUCCCCCACAACUUCAUCCCAAACUCUGA
rnacentral:lncRNA from 1 species